rnacentral:rRNA from 1 species
CAGCCGCCGCGGGAAUACGUAGGGUGCAAGCGUUAAUCGGAAUUACUGGGCGUAAAGCGUGCGUAGGCGGUGAGUUAAGUCUGCUGUGAAAUCCCCGGGCUUAACCUGGGAACUGCGCUUGUGACUGCACAGCUAGAGUAUGGCAGAGGGGGGUGGAAUUCCACGUGUAGCAGUGAAAUGCGUAGAGAUGUGGAGGAACACCGAUGGCGAAGGCAGCCCCCCGGGCCAAUACUGACGCUCAUGCACGAAAGCGUGGGGAGCAAACAGGAUUAGAUACCCCCGUAGUCCCUGUCUCUUAUAC